GUUGAAUUAUCGACUAAUCAAUCCAAUCUCUUAAUUGCAUCAAAGUUCGAACCGAGUUUGAUAGACAAUCAUUUUUUAUUUUCUCCUCAAUCUCCAGUUGUGGAAUUUAGUUCUCCUCCAUUGAUGGAACUUUUAUUGGAUUUCAAUGAGGCUGUUGCAUGUUGCGAUUGUCCUCCCCGCAGUUCGAUUUGAAGCUUCUAAAAGCAUAUCGGCUAACAAUCUCCAAAGAGAGGUACCGAGUUGGUCACUCAUUCCUUCAAGGCAUGUACGAAAAAGCCCGUGCAUGCCAAGCUUGUUUUCCCGUUCGUCCAGCAAUGGUCUAUAAUCCUCGCUCUUUCGGUCUUUUUUGCUGCAAAUUUUUCUCGUUUCCUCUGGGUUGAAGGCAUUUGGGCAGAAGAUACUUUGGUUUGAGUGGAGUGCUAAAGCACUCCUGUUUUGGUUCUCCCUUGCUUGUUGAGUUGAUUUGCAAUUCCCUUUUUGGCAGCUAGCGAAGGGCUGUUGUCGAAGGAAGGCGGCAUCAGCUGAUGAGGAAGAUAGGUUUCAGGUCAUAUACCCGAUUCAUCUUUAGGGUUUUCUAUGUGUUAGGGCUUGGAGUUGGAUUGAAAUAUUUGUAGCAAUGCUUAUCUUUUGUGGGUUUAGGCCUUAUAACCUUA
rnacentral:misc_RNA from 1 species